rnacentral:rRNA from 1 species
AUUGAACGCUGGCGGCAGGCCUAACACAUGCAAGUCGAACGGUGACAGGAAGAAGCUUGCUUCUUUGCUGACGAGUGGCGGACGGGUGAGUAAUGUCUGGGAAACUGCCUGAUGGAGGGGGAUAACUACUGGAAACGGUAGCUAAUACCGCAUAACGUCGCAAGACCAAAGAGGGGGACCUUCGGGCCUCUUGCCAUCGGAUGUGCCCAGAUGGGAUUAGCUUGUUGGUGGGAUAACGGCUCACCAAGGCGACGAUCCCUAGCUGGUCUGAGAGGAUGACCAGCCACACUGGAACUGAGACACGGUCCAGACUCCUACGGGAGGCAGCAGUGGGGAAUAUUGCACAAUGGGCGCAAGCCUGAUGCAGCCAUGCCGCGUGUAUGAAGAAGGCCUUCGGGUUGUAAAGUACUUUCAGCGGGGAGGAAGGGAGUAAAGUUAAUACCUUUGCUCAUUGACGUUACCCGCAGAAGAAGCACCGGCUAACUCCGUG